GCUGUAAACGAUGUCGAUUUAGAGGUUGUGGUCUUGAACCGUGGCUUCUGGAGCUAACGCGUUAAAUCGACCGCCUGGGGAGUACGGCCGCAAGGUUAAAACUCAAAUGAAUUGACGGGGGCCCGCACAAGCGGUGGAGCAUGUGGUUUAAUUCGAUGCAACGCGAAGAACCUUACCUACUCUUGACAUCCAGCGAAUCCUUUAGAGAUAGAGGAGUGCCUUCGGGAACGCUGAGACAGGUGCUGCAUGGCUGUCGUCAGCUCGUGUUGUGAAAUGUUGGGUUAAGUCCCGCAACGAGCGCAACCCUUAUCCUUUGUUGCCAGCACGUAAUGGUGGGAACUCAAAGGAGACUGCCGGUGAUAAACCGGAGGAAGGUGGGGAUGACGUCAAGUCAUCAUGGCCCUUACGAGUAGGGCUACACACGUGCUACAAUGGCAGAUACAAAGAGAAGCGACCUCGCGAGAGCAAGCGGAACUCAUAAAGUCUGUCGUAGUCCGGAUUGGAGUCUGCAACUCGACUCCAUGAAGUCGGAAUCGCUAGUAAUCGUAGAUCAGAAUGCUACGGUGAAUACGUUCCCGGGCCUUGUACACACCGCCCGUCACACCAUGGGAGUGGGUUGCAAAAGAAGU
rnacentral:rRNA from 1 species